rnacentral:rRNA from 1 species
UGGGGAAUAUUGCACAAUGGGGGAAACCCUGAUGCAGCGACGCCGCGUGAGCGAUGAAGGUUUUCGAAUCGUAAAGCUCUGUCCUAUGGGAAGAUAAUGACGGUACCAUAGGAGGAAGCCCCGGCUAACUACGUGCCAGCAGCCGCGGUAAUACGUAGGGGGCGAGCGUUGUCCGGAAUUACUGGGCGUAAAGGGUUCGCAGGCGGCAUGGCAAGUCCGAUGUAAAAGGCGAAGGCUCAACCUUCGUAAGCAUCGGAAACUGUCAAGCUUGAGUGAAGGAGAGGCAAGUGGAAUUCCUAGUGUAGCGGUGGAAUGCGUAGAUAUUAGGAGGAAUACCGGUGGCGAAGGCGACUUGCUGGACUUCAACUGACGCUGAGGAACGAAAGCGUGGGUAGCAAACAGG